AUGGAUCGCUGCUGGACGGCCGAGCGUCGCGCUCGACAUGGAUUGCCGCACGAUCCCCUCUACAAGCUCUGCUGCCAAGAGCUCGAGUCCCUGGAUCACCUACUUGCCCCAUGCGUCUUCUCCCGGCUUACUUGGCACGAAAUCCUCUCAUGGUGCCGACUACCAAUCCCCACGCCGUGCUCCACCGAUGCCUUCUUCGACUGGUAG
rnacentral:rRNA from 1 species